rnacentral:snoRNA from 1 species
AAACUAUGAUGUGGGCACUUUCUCAAUAAGUCCUUGAAUCUUUCCCACGCUUCGUUCCCACGCUUCGUGCAAGCUUUCUUUAUCAUGGUGAGCAAAUGUCAUUAUCUCAUUGCGUGGUUU